GACGAACGCUGGCGGCGUGCUUAACACAUGCAAGUCACGGGGGUCUCGGGGCAACUCGGGAUAACCGGCGAACGGGUGCGUAACACGUAAGCGACCUGCCGAUUCGCGGGGGAUAGCCGGCCCAACGGCCGGGUAAUACCGCAUACGCUUGCUGGGUUUCAUGGCCGGGCAAGGAAACCUCCGGGGAACCGGGGUGGGGCGGAUCGAGGGGCUUGCGGCCUAUCAGCUAGUUGGUGAGGUAACGGCUCACCAAGGCGGUGGCGGGUAGCUGGUCUGAGAGGAUGGCCAGCCACAUUGGGACUGAGAGACGGCCCAGACUCCUACGGGAGGCAGCAGUGGGGAAUAUUGGGCAAUGGGCGCAAGCCUGACCCAGCCAUGCCGCGUGAGUGAUGAAGG
rnacentral:rRNA from 1 species